UUUUGUUUUGUGUUUUUAUUUUGUAAAAUCUGAUGGAUGAACGUCCAGUUUUUACAUCAUUAUUAUUAUUAAUGACACAAUUUCAAUACUUUUAUUAAAUAUUACGGUUCAUUGACUUCCAUAACCUCUGAGCUCAGGUUGUUCAGAUUUUAGAGAUGUGAAGCAUUUGAAGAUACUUCAGGAAAUGACAUCACACUAAGCAAACAUACCAGUGUGGGCAGUGGAGGACCGUGUUGUCUUAAACGUAUUUGUUUCGUCUCUCUGUGAAACGUUCCAGUCAUAUUUGUUUUACAUUUUCGUGCAUCUCUGAAGCUGCAGCAGGUUUCUGCAGAUGGACAUAUUCUGGACUGUUGUAGUUUGGCCAUGUCGGCCACCGUAGUUUCCAGCUGAGUCAUUUAUCAGUUUGAAUAAACACAGCUGACAGUCAGCUGUGAGCGUAACUGAGGGUGUUGUUAAGGUGAAGGAUCAACGCUGAUAAAUGUUGGACAUGAGAUCAUUUUGUUUCUUCGCUGAAAUUAGUCAUGACCACGAUAACACUGCUUUUUAUCUGGAUCAUAAAAACAAAGACCUGAGGAGGACACAGCUGAGGAGGACAGCAGAGAGACUGUACCGAGUUGUUUCUGAGAAAUUAGAUAAGGUUACGUAACACUGUGACAUAAACACACACAACACUCAUCCCUCUUCUUGUACCUGCCUGCAGAGGAACGUCCAAAUAUGGUCAGACAGGUGUGACGACAGAUUAACAGACUUUAUUGUCCAUGCUGCAGAUGGCAGAAUGUUAGAGUCUGACGCCAGAGGAAGAAGAAGAAGAAGAAGAAGAAGACAGAGAAGGAGGACGAUGCUUCAGAGGAGGGCAGUGCUGGUUCCUGAGGCUGGGGAGGAGACGCCAAGAGACUCCACCGCACCCUCAGCAAGCUGGGCUUCAGGGUGGACAUCCACAGUGACCUCAGCGAAGACGAGAUCUACGAGCUGAUCCUUAAAGACUUAACACUGUCAUAUCAAGGCAAAACCAAAAUAAGAAAAGGAGUCAGCUGAACCAGCAGGUGUUGUCUCACACACACGUUUCCUCUGGCUCCGCCCUGCUCCUCACUGCUCCAGGAAAUGUUCACCCCGCUGCAUCACACCUGAACGCUGCAGCGUCUUUCACCUGUUUUGACUUGUCAUACCAGAGGAAUUACCGGUCGAACCAACAGCAUUACUGAUGGCUUCAUUCCAACCGAGUGUCAGAGUCAGAAUCCAAGAACCAGGAAUGAGUUUCAGCAUGUGUGCCUCUUUAUAAACUGAGCCGUCCUGAUUAGCUGAUCACAGAGUGGACUAAAACACUGUUAACAACUUGAUCGACAGACUCUGCAGAGGAAAACCUGUGAGCACGUUCAGUCUGCAGGAAGCUCCUGAAAAUGGCAGCAUUAAGAACAAGCAAGAGUCUAGGAUGGCUUCAUGAUUUUUCUAACUUAAAAACAAAACUUGAGAGACAUGCAGCUUCAUUCAUCUCAGCGUUUGACGUCAGUAAACCAAGGAUGAGACAGAUUGUAGAAGAGUUUCAGAAGAUCGUUGAUGAAGUGAAAAGGAUGCAGGAGACGAGAGACAAACAGAGAAGAAAAGGAGCUGUUGCUGGAGGAGUAGGACUCGGACUAAUGAUCCUUGCAGCUCCGUUCACUGGUGGGGCGAGCUUAUUGGCAGCAGGAGGACUAGCUGCUGCUGCUGCUGGUGGUGGUUAUGUUGUCAAGGCAAAUGUAACAAAAAUAAAAGGAGAGAAAGAAAGUGCACAUAAAGUCGAAGAGCUGGGGAAAGAAUUCAUGGAGAUUGUUGAAUCGCUGAAGAACAACCUGGAAGAAAUAAAGACGACGUGUGAAGAGCUGAAGAGACCAUCCAUGAAAGUUCAGGCUGCAGUCACUCUGUCAGACAUGGAGGACUUUCAGUGGAUUCUUACACAAGUGUCUGAGCUGGCUGAGACAAGUGGAGAAGUUUUGGAUGUGGCAGUAGUAGUGAUGGCAGUAAUGCGUGAUCUGUUAGUGCUCAUUGUGAGUGUCUUCAGAGUGACUGCGACCCCUGAAGAGGAUCAGCAGUUAAGAGACUCCAUCAUCCAGUCAGCUGAUCAGUGUCAGAAGGUCACUAAUGCAUUUGAUCAGAUGACGCAGAAACUGAGACACUUCACAGGAUGUUGGAGAUACAAGACAAGGUCUCGUUCAAUCACCAUGUGACGUAAUGUCUCAUCAGAUCUGCAGUUUGAGAUGAAGUGUGUAAAUGUGUCCGAUGCUGCGUGUCUGAACGAUCUCCUCGUGGUGGAAUAUGAUAUUUAGCCUGAAUAUGAUGAUGACUGUACAGAUGCUGGCUUUGAACUGAAGGACUGGUCAGACCACUUUGUGUCAGUCCAAACUCCACACAGAGGGGCUCCCCCACAGAGGGUUCAAACCAGGAACCGUCAUGCUGUGAGGCAACAAUGCUAACCACUGCUCCACCGUGCUGCAUCGAGUUCAGAAUGAAGUUUAUUAGUUUGAAUAUUAAAUAUCUUGUCUUUGGACCAGGUUGGAAUUGGGGUUGUAUGUAUUUUAUAUCUCACAUAAGUUUAUACACUGUGUUUAUAUUGUACCUGUGAUGUCAUCACUUCUACCUGCACUGUUUAUUUUGCUGACUGUAACUGCUGCACAUGUUCAUAUCUUAUCCAUAUUCAUAUCUCCCUCUGACUGUGAAUUCUAUAUACCGUAAAACUUCUAUUAGUAGCUUUGAUCUGCUUAUCACUGAAGUCAACAGGCCUGUAUUUGUUACAGGCCUAAAGUUAAUUCCUUUCACACAAAACUGUUGCUCAGCAAAGAUCAGGAAAUACGAUCAAACUGUUUAUAUGAACCAGUCUGAAUGUUUUAAUUAUGUGUCGUAUCACAACGCUUGUUUGACGGCACUCAAGGAUUUCGGCAUCCGACACAACAAAACUUUAUCCUCUUAAAACAAUAUUUAAUAUUUUUAUGAAACCCCCUUUUGAUCUGAGGACACUUACAGACUGGACGAACAUGAAUAACGUGCAGGGUGAUCCAGGAACAGACACAUAUUCUGACUUUAUGACAGCAACAGAGGAAACAUAGGGAGUCACCACUUGUUUUUUCAUCAUGCCGGUAAAUCUGAAAGAAUUUAGUCAUCCCUGGCGCUCAUGGUUUCAGUGAAAUGAACUCAGCCAACCUAACAAUGUGUAGCAUCUCCAUACUGGCAAAAAUUAUAUAUGUAUGCUUGCAUGUGUGAUCUAAACAGAUAACCAACAUUAGCUCAAGUAGGUAGCCAAAAAAUGUGGUUUUAUACAUCCAAAGAACUUUUGUCAACAAGAACUGCUGGUAGCCAGACCAGGCCUCUUAUUGAGACAGGCCUUUAUUUGUCUAAACGUGUCGCCACACCGGGCUGUGAAAGGGCGUGGGCAUUUAGUAAGUUUUACGGUAUUGUAUAUAUUGUUUAAUAUUUCAUUAUCUCAGUACAUGGACUCUUUGCAGUGACAUUAAAGUUGAAUUUAAUCUCA